CACUCCUUUCCCAAACACAUGGGCGAUUUUCUCAAUACCUUCCGGCUGCAGAAACAGUCUUCCAAUCUCUCCGUAUUGUGCAAAUAUAUAUCUAACUUUAGCCGGUUUCAUAAAUGGCGGAAGACGGCUAAAAUAUAUAAUUCCAGGCCUUAAUUUGUCGCUGUUUUCAGCUUCCCCUGCCGCCAUUUUGUUUAUGUGCUGCCGUCUUGUUGUUG